AGGAUAAACGCUGGCGGCGUGCCUAACACAUGCAAGUCGAACGUCUCUUCUUUCGGGAAGAGGAGUGGCGGACGGGUGAGGAACACGUGGGAACCUGCCCUUCAGUGAGGAAUACCGGCGAGAAAUCGCCGACAAGACCGCAUAGCCCUCUCUGGUGAGAGCCAGAGAAGGAAAGCCUCGCAAGAGGCGCUGGAGGAGGGGCCUGCGUCCGAUUAGCUAGUUGGUGGGGUAAGAGCCUACCAAGGCGUCGAUCGGUAGCUGGUCUGAGAGGACGAUCAGCCACACUGGGAUUGAGAACGGCCCAGACUCCUACGGGGGGCAGCAGUGAGGAAUUUUCGGCAAUGGGGGAAACCCUGACCGAGCAACGCCGCGUGCAGGAAGACGGCCUUCGGGUUGUAACUGCUUUCUUUGGGUACGAGCAAGGACGGUACCGAGAGGAAGUCAGCCCGGCCUCACUACGUGCCAGCAGCCGC
rnacentral:rRNA from 1 species